GACGAACGCUGGCGGCGUGCCUAACACAUGCAAGUCGAACGGAACUGUUUUGAAAGAUUUCUUCGGAAUGAAUUUGAUUUAGUUUAGUGGCGGACGGGUGAGUAACGCGUGAGUAACCUGCCUUCAAGAGGGGAAUAACAUUCUGAAAAGAAUGCUAAUACCGCAUGACAUAUCGGAACCACAUGGUUUUGAUAUCAAAGAUUUUAUCGCUUGAAGAUGGACUCGCGUCCGAUUAGUUAGUUGGUGAGGUAACGGCUCACCAAGACCGCGAUCGGUAGCCGGACUGAGAGGUUGAGCGGCCACAUUGGGACUGAGACACGGCCCAGACUCCUACGGGAGGCAGCAGUGGGGGAUAUUGCGCAAUGGGGGCAACCCUGACGCAGCAACGCCGCGUGAAGGAUGAAGGUUUUCGGAUUGUAAACUUCUUUUAUUAAGGACGAAAAAUGACGGUACUUAAUGAAUAAGCGCCGGCUAACUACGUG
rnacentral:rRNA from 1 species